CCUACGGGGGGCUGCAGUGGGGAAUAUUGGACAAUGGGGGGAACCCUGAUCCAGCCAUGCCGCGUGUGUGAAGAAGGCCCUCGGGUUGUAAAGCACUUUCAGUGAGGAAGAACGCCUGGUGGUUAAUACCCAUCAGGAAAGACAUCACUCACAGAAGAAGCACCGGCUAACUCCGUGCCAGCAGCCGAGGUAAUACGGAGGGUGCGAGCGUUAAUCGGAAUUACUGGGCGUAAAGCGCGCGUAGGUGGCUUGAUAAGCCGGUUGUGAAAGCCCCGGGCUCAACCUGGGAACGGCAUCCGGAACUGUCAAGCUAGAGUGCAGGAGAGGAAGGUAGAAUUCCCGGUGUAGCGGUGAAAUGCGUAGAGAUCGGGAGGAAUACCAGUGGCGAAGGAGGCCUUCUGGACUGACACUGACACUGAGGUGCGAGAGCGUGGGUAGCAAACAGGAUUAGAUACCCGAGUAGGC
rnacentral:rRNA from 1 species